UGGAGCUAAACUCUGCAGGACACAGGCACCUCCAGGAUCAAGUUUGGUGACCCCUUCUCUAAUGUGAAGUGCAGCUUUGGCUUUUCCAAUCACAAUUGGGAACAGUUCAAAAGCAGGAGGAUAGUUGCCAGUGAAGGAUCGGGGACUGUGAUCUCCUUUUCUUCCAGCUGACUAAUGUAAUAAGUCACUCAUGAGCAAAGAUGGCAGAUUUCAAACCACAUACUUCUGUGGAGUCCUGCAUCAGUUGAUCAACUACAGGUCUUCAAACAUCUUCAGUAUGGGAAUGGAGAUUCUCUCUGUAACAGGCUGCUCUGGACUUCUGGAGAGGAUAACGCACUCGCCGUGUCUAGAGAGAGAAUUUCACAUUGAAAUGGGUCCAUUUGGCACUACAGCAAAG